rnacentral:rRNA from 1 species
CAAUAGCGUAUAUUUAAGUUGUUGCAGUUAAAAAGCUCGUAGUUGGAUUUUGGGUCGGGGGCACCGGUCCGCCGUUCCGGUGUGCACUGGUGGCCCCUUCCUUUCUGCCGGGGACGUGCGUCGCACUUAAUUGGGUGGCGUUCGGAGUCGGCGUUGUUACUUUGAAAAAAUUAGAGUGUUCAAAGCAAGCCAUCGCUCUGAAUACAUUAGCAUGGAAUAACAUGAUAGGACUCCGCUCUUAUUUUGUUGGUUUCCGAGACUGGAGUAAUGAUUAAGAGGGACAGUCGGGGGCAUCCGUAUUUCAUUGUCAGAGGUGAAAUUCUUGGAUUUAUGAAAGACGAACUUCUGCGAAAGCAUUUGCCAAGGAUGUUUUCAUUAA